rnacentral:rRNA from 1 species
UACCGCGAAGAACCUUACCAGGUCUUGACAUCCUCUGACAAUCCUAGAGAUAGGACUUCCCCUUCGGGGGCAGAGUGACAGGUGGUGCAUGGUUGUCGUCAGCUCGUGUCGUGAGAUGUUGGGUUAAGGCCCGCAACGAGCGCAACCCUUGAUCUUAGUUGCCAGCAUUCAGUUGGGCACUCUAAGGUGACUGCCGGUGACAAACCGGAGGAAGGUGGGGAUGACGUCAAAUCAUCAUGCCCCUUAUGACCUGGGCUACACACGUGCUACAAUGGACAGAACAAAGGGCAGCGAAACCGCGAGGUUAAGCCAAUCCCACAAAUCUGUUCUCAGUUCGGAUCGCAGUCCUGCAACUCGACUGCCGUGAAGCUGGAAUCGCUAGUAAUCGCGGAUCAGCUGUCGGCGAUC